rnacentral:rRNA from 1 species
GAUGAACGCUGGCGGCGUGCCUAAUACAUGCAAGUCGAGCGAAUGGAUUAAGAGCUUGCUCUUAUGAAGUUAGCGGCGGACGGGUGAGUAACACGUGGGUAACCUGCCCAUAAGACUGGGAUAACUCCGGGAAACCGGGGCUAAUACCGGAUAACAUUUUGAACCGCAUGGUUCGAAAUUGAAAGGCGGCUUCGGCUGUCACUUAUGGAUGGACCCGCGUCGCAUUAGCUAGUUGGGGAGGUAACGGCUCACCAAGGCAACGAUGCGUAGCCGAGCUGAGAGGGUGAUCGGCCACACUGGGACGGAGACACGGCCCAGGCUCCUACGGGAGGCAGCAGCAGGGAAUCUUCCGCAAUGGACGAAAGUCUGACGGAGCAAGGGCGCGUGAGUGAUGAAGGCUUUCGGGUCGUAAAACUCCGUUGUUAGGGAAGAACAAGUGCUAGUUGAAUAAGCUGGCACCUUGACGGUACCUAACCAGAAAGCCACGGCUAACUACGUGCCAGCCGCCGCGGUAA